CACGUAGGGUGCGAGCGUUGUCCGGAAUUAUUGGGCGUAAAGGGCUCGUAGGCGGUUUGUCGCGUCGGGAGUGAAAACCAGGUGCUUAACACCUGGCUUGCUUUCGAUACGGGCAGACUAGAGGUAUUCAGGGGAGAACGGAAUUCCUGGUGUAGCGGUGAAAUGCGCAGAUAUCAGGAGGAACACCGGUGGCGAAGGCGGUUCUCUGGGAAUAUCCUGACGCUGAGGAGCGAAAGUGUGGGGAGCGAACAGG
rnacentral:rRNA from 1 species